rnacentral:rRNA from 1 species
GACUCUUAGAGGUGGAUCACUUGGCUUGUGCGUAGAUGAAGAAUGCAGCUAGCUGUGAGAAUUAAUGUGAAUUGCAGGAUGCAUUGAUCAUGGAAACUAUGAACAUGAAAGACCCUCUCCAAGAAAGGGAAUUGUACAAGCCCAAGGCCCUCAACUAUAGAAGUAAAA